GAUCUGGCUCAGGAUGAACGCUGGCGGCGUGCCUAACACAUGCAAGUCGAACGGAAUUUACAUGAAGCCUAGCGAUUGUAAAUUUAGUGGCGGACGGGUGAGUAACGCGUGGGUAACCUGCCUUGUACUGGGGGACAACAGUUGGAAACGACUGCUAAUACCGCAUAAGCGCACAGCUUCGCAUGAAGCAGUGUGAAAAACUACCGUCGGGUACGAAAGAAUGGACCCGGCCGUCUGAUUAGU
rnacentral:rRNA from 1 species